rnacentral:lncRNA from 1 species
AAAAGGAUGAAAUGCUGUGGUUUGUCACAGGAAUUGAUUAUGUAAAAGAUGGGAUUAAGAGACAGAUAAGUUAAUAUGCUCAGCAGGAGCCAGACAUAUCAUAGGGAGGUUUGCCAUUCACUAUGGUGUGAUCAAAUAAACAGUGAGAAGACAGUCAGGGGAAAAAAAAAAAAAAAAAAAAAAAAAAAAAAGCACUAAUUUAAUUCAACAUUCAACAUUUUUCUUUGGUAAAUGUUAUUUUCUCCAGGUUUCCCCAGUUGCCUUGAGAAGACCUACCAGUCUAGAAGGAACAUCAGCAUGAGGUUGUUUCUGAGGCAGCAUAAGGGGAGAAAAUUCAAGGGAGAAAAAUAUUUGCAGGUGUGCCUUGUAAGUGCUUGUAGCAUUCACUAGAGCACUGGAAGAGUGUACAGAGGUAAACAAAACUUACUGCCUGACUUCAUGUAAGGUUAAGCUAGUCAUCUGACUUUUACCUACGCUCUUCCUAUGUAUAACCUCUUUCCUAUUUUGUAAUCAUUUGUAAUGCCAGGUGGCUUUAUCUAUUAAGUUUACAGCAAGGCAUUUACUACAUGGAUGUUACCUCUAAAGAGAAAUCCCUUAUACUUUGGAAUUACUCCUUAUUAACCUUGGCCUAAUUGUGGUCUUGAGCUGUCACUCAUUUAUUAUUUAUCUUCAUACCCUUUAACCUGCUUCUCUAUCCAUUUUAACAAAACAAGGCUACCCUGGAGGCUUUGCCUUGUCUAAAAUACAUGCAGCUUUCCCAGCUGCAGAUGGCUUUCAAUAUUAAUAUCCAGCAACAUCACCGAUUUUAAGGAGAGCUUGGCUUGCUGCAUUAAGUGGAAGCUUUGCUGAGCUCCUCAAGAAUAAGUAAGCUCAAAGUUUGUUACAGACUACAUUAAACCCCAUUAUCUCCUCUACUGUUUUACUGAGACUGAUAUAAGUAAUGGUGCUGGCUUAUGGGUGCUUUUUGAUCUAUUUUUCUAAACUUUUUUUUUUUUUUUUCAUUUAAAAUUUCUUUGUAAUCAUGUCUGUUUUCCAGUCUUUUUCAGAAGAUGUGCCCAUGAGCAGUUGCAUUAGAUAAAAUAAGAGAGCAGCAUCUCAUUGUAUAGGUAUGUUAUCUACUUUCCAGUAAUGUGGAGUUGUGAAUGCUUGUGCCAACCACUGCUGGGUCACCCAACUCACUGUUACUACAGAGAAUUUACUUAAUCAGCUGUAUGAAACCAGUGAGGUGAGUUUUGAAACUGGCAUGGAAUAUGUUCCAUUCACAUUGUCAAGAUUAACUGA